GCUCGUCUGUCCAGCCUUCAGCAGCUGAUAGCGCACUUUGCUCUGACUGCAAACUCUCUCUCCCUCCCUCUCCCUCUCUCUCUCCCCUUCCCUCUCUGUCUGUCUCCUCUCUCUCUCUCUCUCUCUCUCUCUCCCUGACGUCGCAGUUCCUGUAUGUUGUGCACUCAGCGCUUUGGCAACAGCUCCGUCUCUGUGGGUGGUACCGUGUGAGGAGAGCCUACUGUACGCCGGCCCGGCCACAAUGCACCGCUCCACCGGGGAAAUGAGGCUUCAGGGAGCCGUGAGGAGAAGCCUGGCCGCGCUCACUAACGCAUCUACGCUCGGCCGGCUCGCUCGCGCGCACGCACUCUCACACACACACGCGCGCUCUUCUUUCUUUAAACCUACGGUGUAGGCGAAACUCCUCAACUCAUCUAACCUAAUCCUGCCUCUAACCAUAACCCUGAGUCCAGAUCAGCUUUUAAAACAACUUGAAAUUUAUAUUGUUCAUUUAAUAGACUUCCUGUUCAUAUUUAUUGCAUAACAAAAGUUUACAGUAACUUUACAGCUAACUUAAUCCUUACUAAAAUGAAAUCCUUUUCUCAAACCUUAUAUUUAACUUAUGACUUCUGUAAAUUUGUCUUAUUGCAUAUCUAUGCAGUACAAUGGAGAAUGGAGAGGACAGAAUUGUCCCUACCAAUAUUUGAGUGAACUCUUUCUCCCUAUGUUUGGAGUGAAGUCAUAUUAGAUCCUGUGGGCCCGGCUCUAAGCGUGGGCACGGGGGACAAUGUCCCACCAAAUCGUCCUGCUUUAAGCCAAAAUUCAAAAAAUAUCUUGAAAAGUAUUUUUAUGUUUUUUUUAAACCGACAACCGAUAAGCUAAAUUAAUUAAAAAUAUCAACUUUUGCUUUGAUUCAGGUAGCCUACCUGUCUCUGGUCUGUACUCAACACUCUGUGGUCUGGAGCAGUGUCCCGCCCACAGCACGAUCUGAUUGGUUAUACGUCACGAGUAACAGCCUAUCACGCUAAAGGCUGCGGUGUAUACGGAAGGACACAGGCUGAGCAGCGGCGGUAACGAGCGGAGCGUGUAUCCAAGCAGCAGAACAGAGAAGAAGAGCAGGCUGAUGAGGAAACAGGUGCAUCUUCAGGGUUUUAGUCAACAGCACUUUAGUAAUGCACUUCCAUAAAGUUGGUGGACCCGCAAGAGAUUAAAAGUCAAGGAAGCAACAGACGCCGAUAUAUCCAACUCAAUGGCAUCUUGCAUUGCCUGCCUUCUCUUAAACACACCUGCAAGCUUCUUGGCCCAAACCCAAGCUGAGGUAACCCUGAUGACAUCAUCAGGGUCCUUUCCAAACACUGGAAAGCUCCUCGCAGAGUCACAGAAGACAUUACACAACUGGUUUCACAAACCGUGCGUUAAAAUGUCAUCACUCUGUAGUGUACAGACAGGUGACAAAUUAAAGGCAAAAAGCAAACACAAAUAAAUCAGAUGCUGCCAUACAGGACAUCAGGCAUCACUGAAUAUUUUGAUGAUGAGUAAGGAAAUGAUUUGACUCAUGCACUGUGGAUUUCACAAUCACCAAGUGAACACCUAUGAGGUAUUUUGGAUCCACCACCAUCAUCAAGACACCAAAUGAGGGAAUAUCUCCUGGAAGAGUCCUUGUCCUGGAGAAUCUAAGACCAGGACCCUUUAAACUGUCCAGGUGUAACGACACUUGACGGAGACACUUCGACCAUUGGGACUGUACAUACAAUGUGACCAGCAGAGACGAUCUGAUGUGUGUGUGUGUGUGUGUGUGUGUGUGUGUGUGUGUGUGUGUGUGU